rnacentral:rRNA from 2 species
AAACGACUCUCGGCAACGGAUAUCUCGGCUCACGCAUCGAUGAAGAACGUAGCAAAAUGCGAUACUUGGUGUGAAUUGCAGAAUCCCGUGAACCAUCGAGUUUUUGAACGCAAGUUGCGCCCGAAGCCAUCUGGUUGAGGGCACGCCUGCCUGGGCGUCACG